rnacentral:rRNA from 1 species
UACGUAGGGGGCAAGCGUUAUCCGGAUUUACUGGGUGUAAAGGGAGCGUAGACGGUGGUGCAAGUCAGAAGUGAAAGCCCGCGGCUCAACUGCGGGACUGCUUUUGAAACUGUAUAACUAGAGUGCAGGAGAGGUAAGCGGAAUUCCUAGUGUAGCGGUGAAAUGCGUAGAUAUUAGGAGGAACACCAGUGGCGAAGGCGGCCUACUGGACGGUGACUGACGCUGAGGCUCGAAAGCGUGGGGAGCAAACAGG